rnacentral:tmRNA from 1 species
GGGGUUGACUGGAUUUGACAGCAGAUGAAGUGGUAUGUAAGCACGCGGAGCCUCGUUGGCUUGCUCCUUAAACAAAGCGAUCAAAGAAUUAAUUGGCGAAAAUAAUUACGCUCUCGCUGCCUAACUGAAGUACAGUAGGUUACUGGCUUUAUCGCGUUACAAGGUAAUGCGACGAGACAUCGCUCCAAAGAUGUUUUUCCGAAUCUAAGGAAUCAGCGGUGCAGAACAAUCGGGAAUAGCUUUCGCAAGCCUCAUUGUGGAAGUGAAAAUAAGAGGAUAAGGGCGUAGUAGGUGGUCCAGGUCUUGCUGCGUCACGAAAAUAAAAGGCUGGAAUAAGCGUGUAGAAAGCAUAUGGUUUCGCUGUUUGGACGUGGGUUCGAAUCCCACCAGCUCCACUU